GACACGCUGGCGGCGUGCUUAACACAUGCAAGUCGAGCGAUGAAGCACCUUCGGGUGUGAAUUAGCGGCGAACGGGUGAGGAACACGUGAGAAAUCUGCCUUCAACACUGGGAUAACUCCGGGAAACCGGGGCUAAUACCGGAUAUGAAACCUGCGGGCAUCCGCGGGUUUGGAAAGUUUUUCGGUUGAAGAUGAUCUCGCGGCCUAUCAGCUUGUUGGUGAGGUAAUGGCUCACCAAGGCGACGACGGGUAGCCGGCCUGAGAGGGCGACCGGCCACACUGGGACUGAGACACGGCCCAGACUCCUACGGGAGGCAGCAGUGGGGAAUAUUGGGCAAUGGAGGAAACUCUGACCCAGCGACGCCGCGUGCGGGAUGAAGGCCUUCGGGUUGUAAACCGCUUUCAGCAGGGAAGAAGCGAAAGUGACGGUACCUGCAGAAGAAGCACCGGCUAACUAUGUG
rnacentral:rRNA from 1 species